UCUAGUUCUCCUCUCCAACCUCCUAACAAAAAAAAGAAAAAACCAUGGCAAGAAAAGUAGAGCCAUACACUUCUUUCUUAGCUCUCUCAUUCGCUGUGUUACUGCUUUCCCUUGCCGCAGGUAAGAACUAGAAAAUCUAGACUUUUUCUGGAAUUCUUAUAGCCUUUUCUUUUCUCAUUCAUGUGCCACAUUUGCUCGAUAAAUAAAAUAGCUUUUGGGUUGCUUCCUACUUAUUUUUCCCCCCCAUAUUACCGAAAUACAAGGUAUUUCUUCCAUUCUUCCUUUUGGUGAUUCUUUAAUUUGCUAUUCAUACAGAUGCUAGCAUUUGAAGUGAUACUAAAAUUCUCUCUUGCUUCUUCCUUUGCUUUCUUAUUUCCAGU
rnacentral:lncRNA from 1 species